UAUGUCAUGGACGGCACUAUUUUCGCCCCAAAACAAGCUCAAAACAGCUCCAAAAUGCUUCCGGAACAGUCCGGAAUACCCCGGAAGGUCCUGGAAGACUUUAGAAGGCUCUAGAAGACUCUAGAAGACUCUAGAAAAUUCUAGAACACUCUAGAACACUCUAGAAGACUCUAAAAAAAUCUAGAAGACUCUAGAAGACUCUAGAAGACUCUAGAACACUCUAGAAGACUCUAGAAG
rnacentral:lncRNA from 1 species